rnacentral:rRNA from 1 species
CGAAGGGGGCUAGCGUUGCUCGGAAUCACUGGGCGUAAAGCGCACGUAGGCGGAUUUUUAAGUCAGGGGUGAAAUCCUGGAGCUCAACUCCAGAACCGCCUCUGAUACUGGGAAUCUUGAGUCCGGGAGAGGUGAGUGGAACUGCGAGUGUAGAGAUGAAAUUCGUAGAUAUUCGCAAGAACACCAGUGGCGAAGGCGGCUCACUGGCCCGGUACUGACGCUGAGGUGCGAAAGCGUGGGAGCAAACAGGAUUAGAUACCCUGGUAGUCCACGCCGUAAACGAUGGAUGCUAGCCGUUGGUGGGUUUACCCUUCAGUGGCGCAGCUAACGCAUUAAGCAUCCCGCCUGGGGAGUACGGUCGCAAGAUUA